rnacentral:lncRNA from 10 species
GCCUGCUGACGUCAGCGCCUGCCUACGCCGCCGUUCCCAUGGCGACCGAUGCGUCCCGCGCUCUAGGCGAAGACCGCGGCCCCGUCCCCGCGCCUCCACCGCCUUCUUCCAGGAGGAGGGGCCGUGCGGCGCCUGCCCGGGGGCCCUCAGGCCGCAGGCGGGCGCGAGCUUCAGGGAACUUAGGGGGCUCCCGCCUCCCCGGCCACGCGAGCGGGAACAGUCUCCUCCACUCGGAGCGGCGCCAUCUUCAGCUCUGAGUCACCAGGGCUGGAAAAAUACUAGAUGCGCUACUCGUGGACUCGUGAAUACACUCGUGAAUACAGGCCAUUUCCUGUACCUACAGCCACCCGCUAGUUCAUCCAGUCCUCCAUGUUAGGAUGCAGCAACCAGGUAUAAUCUUGGAAGCAGAGACAGACCCUCACCAGACACAGUCUCCUGGGACCUUGAUCUUGGACCUUCCAGCCUCUAAAAC